UACGUAGGGUGCAAGCGUUGUCCGGAAUUAUUGGGCGUAAAGAGCUCGUAGGCGGUUUGUCGCGUCUGCUGUGAAAACCCGAGGCUCAACCUCGGGCCUGCAGUGGGUACGGGCAGACUAGAGUGCGGUAGGGGAGAUUGGAAUUCCUGGUGUAGCGGUGGAAUGCGCAGAUAUCAGGAGGAACACCGAUGGCGAAGGCAGAUCUCUGGGCCACUACUGACGCUGAGAAGCGAAAGCAUGGGGAGCGAACAGG
rnacentral:rRNA from 1 species